GAGUAACCUGCCCUUGACUCUGGGAUAAGCCGGGGAAACCCGGUCUAAUACCGGAUAGGACACCCUUCCGCAUGGUGGGGUGUGGAAAGUUUUUCGGUCAGGGAUGGACUCGCGGCCUAUCAGCUUGUUGGUGGGGUAACGGCCUACCAAGGCGAUUACGGGUAGCCGGCCUGAGAGGGCGACCGGCCACACUGGGACUGAGACACGGCCCAGACUCCUGCGGGAGGCAGCAGUGGGGAAUAUUGCGCAAUGGGCGAAAGCCUGACGCAGCGACGCCGCGUGGGGGAUGACGGCCUUCGGGUUGUAAACCUCUUUUACCACUCACGCAGGCCGGGGGUUUUCUCCCGGUUGACGGUAGGUGGGGAAUAAGGACCGGCUAACUACGUGCCAGCAGCCGCGGUAAUACGUAGGGUCCGAGCGUUGUCCGGAAUUAUUGGGCGUAAAGAGCUCGUAGGCGGCGUGUCGCGUCUGCUGUGAAAGACCGGGGCUUAACUCCGGUUUUGCAGUGGAUACGGGCAUGCUAGAGGUAGGUAGGGGAGACUGGAAUUCCUGGUGUAGCGGUGAAAUGCGCAGAUAUCAGGAGGAACACCGGUGGCGAAGGCGGGUCUCUGGGCCUUACCUGACGCUGAGGAGCGAAAGCGUGGGGAGCGAACAGGAUUAGAUACCCUGGUAGUCCACGCCGUAAACGUUGGGCGCUAGGUGUGGGGACUUUCCACGGUCUCCGUGCCGCAGCUAACGCAUUAAGCGCCCCGCCUGGGGAGUACGGCCGCAAGGCUAAAACUCAAAGGAAUUGACGGGGGGCCCGCACAAAGCGGCGGAAGCAUGUUGGUUUAAUUCGACGCAAACGCGAAAGAACCUUACCAAAGGUUUGGACAUCACCCGGUUAAUCCCCGCAGAAGAUGGCCGGGGUCCUUU
rnacentral:rRNA from 1 species